rnacentral:rRNA from 1 species
GACGAACGCUGGCGGCGUGCUUAACACAUGCAAGUCGAACGGAAAGGCCCCUUUGGGGGUACUCGAGUGGCGAACGGGUGAGUAACACGUGAGUAACCUGCCCUUGACUUCGGGAUAACUUCAGGAAACUGGGGCUAAUACCGGAUAGGAAUCCUUGCUGCAUGGUGGGGGUUGGAAAGCUUCGGCGGUUUUGGAUGGACUCGCGGCAUAUCAGCUUGUUGGUGGGGUAGUGGCUUACCAAGGCUUUGACGGGUAGCCGGCCUGAGAGGGCGACCGGCCACAUUGGGACUGAGAUACGGCCCAGACUCCUACGGGAGGCAGCAGUGGGGAAUAUUGCACAAUGGGCGGAAGCCUGAUGCAGCAACGCCGCGUGCGGGAUGACGGCCUUCGGGUUGGAAACCGCGUUCAGCAGGGGCGAAGCUUGUGGUGACGGUACCUGCAGAAGAAGCACCGGCUAACUACGUG